UACAGAGGUCCCAAGCGUUGUUCGGAUUCAUUGGGCGUAAAGGGUGCGUAGGCGGCGCGGUAAGUCGGGUGUGAAAUCUUGGAGCUUAACUCCGAAACUGCAUUCGAUACUGCCGUGCUUGAGGACUGGAGAGGAGACUGGAAUUUACGGUGUAGCGGUGAAAUGCGUAGAUAUCGGGAGGAACACCUGAGGCGAAGGCGGGCUACUGGGCCGAUACUGACGCUGAUGUGCGAAAGCCAGGGGAGCGAACGGG
rnacentral:rRNA from 1 species